rnacentral:rRNA from 1 species
UACGGAGGGGGCUAGCGUUGUUCGGAAUUACUGGGCGUAAAGCGCGCGUAGGCGGACCUGCAAGUCGGGGGUGAAAUCCUGGAGCUCAACUCCAGAACUGCCUUCGAUACUGGCGAUCUCGAGUCCGGAAGAGGUGAGUGGAACUCCUAGUGUAGAGGUGGAAUUCGUAGAUAUUAGGAAGAACACCAGUGGCGAAGGCGGCUCACUGGUCCGGUACUGACGCUGAGGUGCGAAAGCGUGGGGAGCAAACAGG